UCGACCGCCUGGGGAGUACGGCCGCAAGGUUAAAACUCAAAUGAAUUGACGGGGGCCCGCACAAGCGGUGGAGCAUGUGGUUUAAUUCGAUGCAACGCGAAGAACCUUACCUGGUCUUGACAUCCACAGAACUUUCCAGAGAUGGAUUGGUGCCUUCGGGAACUGUGAGACAGGUGCUGCAUGGCUGUCGUCAGCUCGUGUUGUGAAAUGUUGGGUUAAGUCCCGCAACGAGCGCAACCCUUAUCCUUUGUUGCCAGCGGUUAGGCCGGGAACUCAAAGGAGACUGCCAGUGAUAAACUGGAGGAAGGUGGGGAUGACGUCAAGUCAUCAUGGCCCUUACGACCAGGGCUACACACGUGCUACAAUGGCAUAUACAAAGAGAAGCGACCUCGCGAGAGCAAGCGGACCUCAUAAAGUAUGUCGUAGUCCGGAUUGGAGUCUGCAACUCGACUCCAUGAAGUCGGAAUCGCUAGUAAUCGUAGAUCAGAAUGCUACGGUGAAUACGUUCCCGGGCCUUGUACACACCGCCCGUCACACCAUGGGAGUGGGUUGCAAAAGAAGUAGGUAGCUUAACCUUCGGGAGGGCGCUUACCACUUUGUGAUUCAUGACUGGGGUGAAGUCGUAACAAGGUAACCGUAGGGGAACCUGCGGUUGGAUCACCUCCUUACCUUAAAGAA
rnacentral:rRNA from 1 species